GUGGAUGACCAAGGCAGGUUCCGCGACAUAUUUGUUGGAGCACCUGGCAGGGUUCAUAACUCAAGGAUUCUGAAGAAAUCCAGUUUCUUUGAGACAUGGGAACAAAAAAUGGGCCUGUACACUUUACUUGGCGACAGCGCAUACAUCAGCCGUGAAUACCC